GACGAACGCUGGCGGCGUGCUUAACACAUGCAAGUCGAACGGAAAGGCCCAGCUUGCUGGGUGCUCGAGUGGCGAACGGGUGAGUAACACGUGGGUGAUCUGCCCCUAACUUCGGGAUAAGCUUGGGAAACUGGGUCUAAUACCGGAUAGGACAAUCGUUUAGUGUCGGUUGUGGAAAGUUUUUUCGGUUAGGGAUGAGCCCGCGGCCUAUCAGCUUGUUGGUGGGGUAAUGGCCUACCAAGGCGUCGACGGGUAGCCGGCCUGAGAGGGUGGACGGCCACAUUGGGACUGAGAUACGGCCCAGACUCCUACGGGAGGCAGCAGUGGGGAAUAUUGCACAGUGGGCGCAAGCCUGAUGCAGCGACGCCGCGUGGGGGAUGACGGCCUUCGGGUUGUAAACCUCUUUCGACAGGGACGAAGCUUUGGUGACGGUACCUGUAUAAGAAGCACCGGCUAACUACGUG
rnacentral:rRNA from 1 species